rnacentral:rRNA from 1 species
UACGUAGGGUGCAAGCGUUGUCCGGAAUCAUUGGGCGUAAAGAGCGUGUAGGCGGCUCGAUUAGUCCGCUGUAAAAGUCCAGGGCUCAACCCUGGGAUGCCGGUGGAAACUGUCGGGCUAGAGUCCGGGAGAGGCGAGUGGAAUUCCUGGUGUAGCGGUGAAAUGCGCAGAUAUCAGGAGGAACACCGGCGGUGUAGACGGCUUUCUGGACCGUAGCUGACGCUGAGACACGAAAGCGUGGGUAGCAAACAGG